GUUUUAAAUUUUUCACACCGUAUUGAAACAUCACAAGUUAGAAAUCUUUGGAUUUUCUCAAACUAAUAUAGGAACGUCGUUUGAAACUUUAGGAAUAUAUAUGAAUAUCAAAUCAUUUAAGAAAAUGUGUGCAUCACAAUCUAAGGACAAAAUAAACUAGAAAACACAAUAUUUAUACAAAUAUGAAAACUCACAAUGUAAAAUCUUAUCGUUUCGUAUUGUAAAACCAUUAACACUUUUGAUACGCGUAGUGUAACAUAAAACAAAAACGCAUGGAGAAAUAACUUUAUCGUAAAAUUAAGGAACUUUAUCUUUUUUUUAACAAAUUUAAUUUAAAAUAUAUUUUGUUAAAGACAUGGACUAAUGAAUUGAUACUCUAUGCUUACAAUUAUAAAAUUUGAAAAAGUACGAUAUUACAAUGUUGUAUUUGGUAUUAGAUUGUCUAAACGUUUUAUGUACAUUUUGAAAUGUGAUUGAAUUUUUUUUCUUGGCAAUUAUGCAGUUGUGAUUGUCUAAUCGUAUACGUAAAACUGUUUUAAUACCCUUUAUUUCUUUCACUGGGAAAAGUUUAAUUAUCAUCAAAAAGCUAUCGUUUAUUACACGCUGAGUACCAUUACAUUCUUUUAAAAAAGUACUAUGAAUAGAUACAAAGCGUAUAGUAAAUGACCACCGCCUACAUGUAUUUACACUUGUAUAUAUAUAUGACUUACCGUUACUUGUUUGCCGUGAAGGAUUAUUUUGAUGUGUUAUUAUUUAUUUUUUUUUUCAAAUUGACAGCCUUUAGAUUUAAUUUGUCAUAUCCUCGAUUGUUAUCUUACACUGUUGGUUACCUUGUAUACAAUCGCAACUUCUCGGGCCUUUCUGGCAAGCUUGGAAAAACACCUCGAAUGUGUUUACAUCACCGUAUGUUAGAAUUUUAUACAAAAUGGAGUCGCUUCCCAUUAAAUUAUCAUAUAUAAUAAGUAUCGGCUAGACAGUCUUGUAAGUCGCUUCUGUGUUAUAUUUUUAUGUAUAUCGUUUACUUUAAUCUCAACAGAUCGUAAAAUGUGUUGUAUUUAUAUCAAGUUUUAUAAAAAGGGGGGUUGUCAUGGACGCCUAGGUAAUACAUUCGAUUUGUUUUUCCGAGCCUGUCGGAAAGGCCCGAGAAGUUGCGAUUGCCUUGUAUAUUCAACGUUGGUUAUUCAUGUCCACAAGAUUCCACUCAAUAAAAUUAAUAU
rnacentral:sRNA from 1 species